rnacentral:rRNA from 1 species
CCUACGGGAGGCAGCAGUGAGGAAUAUUGGUCAAUGGCCGGAAGGCUGAACCAGCCAUGCCGCGUGAAGGUCAGUGCCCUAUGGGCGUUAAACUUCUUUUGUGCGGGAGCAAUAAUGGUCACGUGUGGCCAGACGAGAGUACCGUACGAAUAAGCAUCGGCUAACUCCGUGCCAGCAGCCGCGGUAAUACGGGGGGUGCAAGCGUUAUCCGGAUUUUAUGGGUUUAAAGGGAGCGUAGGCGGUGAGGUAAGGCAGCGGUGAAAUGCCCCCGCUCAACGGGGUGAAGUGCCAUUGAUACUGCCUGGCUGGAAGGCGGAUGCGGUAGGAGGAAUGUGUGGUGUAGCGGUGAAAUGCAUAGAUAUCACACAGAACACCGAUUGCGAAGGCAUCUCACGAAUCCGCGAUUGACGCUGAUGCACGAAAGCGUGGGUAUCAAACAGGAUUAGAUACCCCUGUAGUC